UAGCGGAAGAAAUGAUAGUCGAGGACUAUAAGUGGAAAUUGCCCUUCUACACACAUCUGAUCAUAUACAUCAUUUUUUUAGUGACGAGGGAAACCCACAGCCACUAUCCGAGGGUGUGCAUUAGAUAAACCUUGCCUUGUAACCAUAGCCGGCAAAGUACCCCAAAGUCCACAAGGCGGUAAACUAACCUAAGUUGUCUAUAGAUGAUUGACUCAAAUUAAGAAGUCCGAUAGGCCACUCUUGAUGUGAGUCGAACUUGUAACCUUGUGGUUACCAAGUCAACUACCUGACCAAUUUGAUUAUGAUUGCCUCUCAUAUAUAUCGUUUUAAUACAUGCACUCCCUUACCAUCAUCCUCUUCCGUUGCACCGGGGCGAGCCACGAAAAAUGGUUCGGAGGGUAUGGAGCCUUCAUCAUACCAGUUCUUUGCCUUUUUCCCAACCAAGUCAAUCUGCAACAUAUUGUCAUUGGUUAGAUGCAAAGAACAGAAAAGUUAUCACUUGAUUUAAGACACAAUUUUUUCAUAGAAAAAGAAUGAGAUUGAUAUACCUUUGUGAGGGUAUUAGGAAAGUUGCAGGGCCUCUGAGCACCACAGGCAUAGGCAUAUCUGUAUUUCUUGCCCAAGAAUGAAGGGUUAAAGCUGCACAUGUCCAUACCUCUGCCAUGCUCAUUUGGAUCCAAGGCUGCUUCCAACUUCCCAUAGGGACUCCCAUCCAAUGGGUUUCCACCGUCGAAUGCAAUGAUUAAUCUCUUGCUGAAUUGUAGGCACCUUUUUGGGUGUGAUAGCUAGUCUGGAGAUUUAAGGCUGCUUCAUACCCAAUGCCAACGAUCAAACCCUUAACCUUUGGUUAAGGAUGGAUGAGUCCUUUGCUACUCAACCACAACCCCAGAUUGACAAUAUACUUUUAUAAGUCCAACUCUCGCCAUACGUUCAGAUUUUAAUGCAGAAAUAUUAGGAAAUGAAUAAAACUAUGACAUACUUUUUCUUGAA